rnacentral:rRNA from 2 species
AGACCCGAAACCCGGUGAUCUAGCCAUGGGCAGGUUGAAGGUUGGGUAACACUAACUGGAGGACCGAACCGACUAAUGUUGAAAAAUUAGCGGAUGACCUGUGGCUGGGGGUGAAAGGCCAAUCAAACCGGGAGAUAGCUGGUUCUCCCCGAAAGCUAUUUAGGUAGCGCCUCGUGAAUUCAUCUCCGGGGGUAGAGCACUGUUUCGGCUAGGGGGCCAUCCCGGCUUACCAACCCGAUGCAAACUGCGAAUACCGGAGAAUGUUAUCACGGGAGACACACGGCGGGUGCUAACGUCCGUCGUGAAGAGGGAAACAACCCAGACCGCCAGCUAAGGUCCCAAAGUCAUGGUUAAGUGGGAAACGAUGUGGGAAGGCCCAGACAGCCAGGAUGUUGGCUUAGAAGCAGCCAUCAUUUAAAGAAAGCGUAAUAGCUCACUGGUCGAGUCGGCCUGCGCGGAAGAUGUAACGGGGCUAAACCAUGCACCGAAGCUGCGGCAGCGACACUGUGUGUUGUUGGGUAGGGGAGCGUUCUGUAAGCCUGUGAAGGUGUGUCGUGAGGCAUGCUGGAGGUAUCAGAAGUGCGAAUGCUGACAUA